rnacentral:rRNA from 1 species
GACGAACGCUGGCGGCGUGCUUAACACAUGCAAGUCGAACGGAAAGGCCCUGCUUUUGUGGGGUGCUCGAGUGGCGAACGGGUGAGUAACACGUGAGUAACCUGCCCUUGACUUUGGGAUAACUUCAGGAAACUGGGGCUAAUACCGGAUAGGAGCUCCUGCUGCAUGGUGGGGGUUGGAAAGUUUCGGCGGUUGGGGAUGGACUCGCGGCUUAUCAGCUUGUUGGUGGGGUAGUGGCUUACCAAGGCUUUGACGGGUAGCCGGCCUGAGAGGGUGACCGGCCACAUUGGGACUGAGGUACGGCCCAGACUCCUACGUGAGGCAGCAGUGGGGAAUAUUGCACAAUGGGCGGAAGCCUGAUGCAGCAACGCCGCGUGCGGGAUGACGGCCUUCGGGUUGUAAACCGCUUUCGCCUGUGACGAAGCGUGAGUGACGGUAAUGGGUAAAGAAGCACCGGCUAACUACGUG